rnacentral:rRNA from 1 species
GACGAACGCUAGCGGCGUGCUUAACACAUGCAGGUCGAACGGAAAGGCCCUUCGUUGGUGGGGUGCGCGAGUGGCGAACGGAAGAGUAACACAACAGUAACCUGCCCUUGACAUUGGGAUAACUUCAGUAAACUAAUACUCAUACCGGAUAUGAGCUCCCACUGUAUGGUGAUGGAUGGAAAGGUUCGGAGGUAGGGGAUUGACUCGUGGCAGAUCAGCGGGUUGGUGGGGGAAUGGCUAACCAAGGCUAUGACGGGUAGCCGGCCUGAGAGGGUGACCGGCCACAUGGGGAGUGAGAUACGGCACGGAGUACUGAGGGAGACAGCAGAGUGGAAGGAAGACUGAUGGAGGGAAGCCUGGUGCAGCAAGGCUGCGUGAGGGAUGACGGCCUGCGUUUUGUAAGCCGCUAUCGCGUGUAACGGAGCGUGAGUGACGGUAAUGGGUAAAGAAGCACCGGCUAACUACGUG